rnacentral:rRNA from 1 species
CCUACGGGGAGCAGCAGUGGGGAAUAUUGCACAAUGGGGGAAACCCUGAUGCAGCGACGCCGCGUGAGUGAAGAAGUAUUUCGGGAUGUAAAGCUCUAUCAGCAGGGAAGAAAAUGACGGUACCUGAUUAAGAAGCCCCGGCUAACUCCGUGCCAGCAGCCGCGGUAAGACGUAGGGGGCAAGCGUGAUCCGGAUUUACUGGGUGUAAAGGGAGCGUAGACGGCAGCACAAGUCUGGAGUGAAAUGCCGGGGCUUAACCCCGGAACUGCUUUGGAAACUGUGCAGCUAGAGUGCAGGAGAGGUAAGUGGAAUUCCUAGUGUAGCGGUGCAAUGCGUAGAUAUUAGGAGGAACACCAGUGGCGAAGGCGGCUUACUGGACUGUAACUGACGUUGAGGCUCGAAAGCGUGGGGAGCAAACAGGAUUAGAUACCCGGGUAGUC